CACGUAGGGCGCAAGCGUUGUCCGGAAUUAUUGGGCGUAAAGAGCUCGUAGGUGGUUUGCUGCGUCCGCUGUGAAAACCCAAGGCUUAACCUUGGGCUUGCAGUGGAUACGGGCAGACUAGAGGUAGGUAGGGGAGAAUGGAAUUCCCGGUGUAGCGGUGAAAUGCGCAGAUAUCAGGAAGAACACCCGUGGCGAAGGCGGCUCUCUGGAACGCAACUGACGCUGAGACGCGAAAGCGUGGGGAGCAAACAGG
rnacentral:rRNA from 1 species